UUGAACGCUGGCGGCAGGCCUAACACAUGCAAGUCGAGCGGUAGCACAGAGAGCUUGCUCUCGGGUGACGAGCGGCGGACGGGUGAGUAAUGUCUGGGAAACUGCCUGAUGGAGGGGGAUAACUACUGGAAACGGUAGCUAAUACCGCAUAAUGUCGCAAGACCAAAGUGGGGGACCUUCGGGCCUCAUGCCAUCAGAUGUGCCCAGAUGGGAUUAGCUAGUAGGUGGGGUAACGGCUCACCUAGGCGACGAUCCCUAGCUGGUCUGAGAGGAUGACCAGCCACACUGGAACUGAGACACGGUCCAGACUCCUACGGGAGGCAGCAGUGGGGAAUAUUGCACAAUGGGCGCAAGCCUGAUGCAGCCAUGCCGCGUGUGUGAAGAAGGCCUUCGGGUUGUAAAGCACUUUCAGCGGGGAGGAAGGCGUUAAGGUUAAUAACCUUGGCGAUUGACGUUACCCGCAGAAGAAGCACCGGCUAACUCCGUGCCAGCAGCCGCGGUAAUACGGAGGGUGCAAGCGUUAAUCGGAAUUACUGGGCGUAAAGCGCACGCAGGCGGUCUGUCAAGUCGGAUGUGAAAUCCCCGGGCUCAACCUGGGAACUGCAUUCGAAACUGGCAGGCUAGAGUCUUGUAGAGGGGGGUAGAAUUCCAGGUGUAGCGGUGAAAUGCGUAGAGAUCUGGAGGAAUACCGGUGGCGAAGGCGGCCCCCUGGACAAAGACUGACGCUCAGGUGCGAAAGCGUGGGGAGCAAACAGGAUUAGAUACCCUGGUAGUCCACGCCGUAAACGAUGUCGAUUUGGAGGUUGUGCCCUUGAGGCGUGGCUUCCGGAGCUAACGCGUUAAAUCGACCGCCUGGGGAGUACGGCCGCAAGGUUAAAACUCAAAUGAAUUGACGGGGGCCCGCACAAGCGGUGGAGCAUGUGGUUUAAUUCGAUGCAACGCGAAGAACCUUACCUGGUCUUGACAUCCACAGAACUUAGCAGAGAUGCUUUGGUGCCUUCGGGAACUGUGAGACAGGUGCUGCAUGGCUGUCGUCAGCUCGUGUUGUGAAAUGUUGGGUUGAGUCCCGCAACGAGCGCAACCCUUAUCCUUUGUUGCCAGCGGUUAGGCCGGGAACUCAAAGGAGACUGCCAGUGAUAAACUGGAGGAAGGUGGGGAUGACGUCAAGUCAUCAUGGCCCUUACGACCAGGGCUACACACGUGCUACAAUGGCAUAUACAAAGAGAAGCGACCUCGCGAGAGCAAGCGGACCUCAUAAAGUAUGUCGUAGUCCGGAUUGGAGUCUGCAACUCGACUCCAUGAAGUCGGAAUCGCUAGUAAUCGUAGAUCAGAAUGCUACGGUGAAUACGUUCCCGGGCCUUGUACACACCGCCCGUCACACCAUGGGAGUGGGUUGCAAAAGAAGUAGGUAGCUUAACCUUCGGGAGGGCGCUUACCACUUUGUGAUUCAUGACUGGGGUG
rnacentral:rRNA from 1 species